UGUGUGUGUGUGUGUGUGUGUGUGUGUGUGUGUGUGUGUGUGUGUGUGUGUGUGUGUGUGUGUGUGUGUGUGUGUGUGUGUGUGUGUGUGUGUGUGUGUGCGUGUGUGUGUGUGUUUGGUUUAUGAGAGGGAGCACUUUGUCUGUUCUGUGUCAGGCUGACUUUACCAGUCAUCUGCCUCCUUUCUCCAUCUACACAUCUCUGAAAUGUUUCUUUCUAGCCUCUGAUUCCUCCACCACUGCAGGCAGGAAGAAUCAGUAGCAUGUUGAUGGCACACAACAAAUGGAGCACACCACGGGCCACUCCCACAUGUGCUCUCUCUCCGCUGCGGGUGUGCCUCCUCGCACCUGCAAACACUCACCAAGCUACACACCUGCCUGUGAUGAGCGAGCUGCCUUCAAGAGCAGACGCAGCCUGAGAUCCGACGCGAGAACGUAGCUUCACUUACCCAGUACACCUCCCGCCAUCCUUCCUUGUCGUCGAGUUGUGUGUCUCGUCACCUUGGACCUCCCGUGGAUUUUCCCUUGCCUUCCUGGACAUCGACCUCACGCCUGCCUAACGACCACGAAACCAAGCUCCUGCCCUUGACCAUCUGCCUGCUCGCCGACGUUCGAUUCCGCCUUGCUCCUUACUGGACUUCCGCCUGGAUCCCAACACGCAUCCUCAACACCCUCUGGCAACCAUACUCAGAUACGUUUCACACUUCGUCACAUUACAUCUCUUUGGUUAAAUACACAUCUCACUCACACACUAAACUGUCAUUAAAUACGCUGACAGCUAACGACGUCAUCGCCCCUCUGCCGUCUUCUUCUCCCGUUGUACCGUCAUAGUCUUCCUUUUUUUCCCUCUUUCCAUCCCCUCCUUCUCCGGCCUGGCUGCACAAAAUAAUAUACAUUUAAUAAA